GUCGUUGCUCCUUCUUCUUCUUCUUCGUUUUCGAAUCCCCUGAAGACCGAAAGAUUCAGGCAUUAACAGAGGGGAUUGACGAAUAAUGCCGGGGUCUAAUCUUUCACACUUGACAUUUCAUCCACCUUCUUCACUCUCUACAUCUCCAAGAUCGGUUGCUUCUUGUUUGGUGUCUCUUAACUCUCCUUGCAGGAGGCUCUCUUCCAACUUCUCGCUUCCCAUUGUCCUCAGGAAGCCUAGUUGUAGUUUGAUUUCUUUGGGGAGAGUCCAUGGUGGAACCUUGAUACCUCUACGCCAUUUUUACUGAUUUUUUUCUCAGAACUAUGGGACAAGACUUUUUUCAUUGCAGCUCUCCUAGCAGCUAGGAACUCUGCUGCUAUUGUUUUUACUGGAACUUUGGUGCUUUUGCAUAU